rnacentral:rRNA from 1 species
AGAGUUUGAUUCUGGCUCAGGAUGAACGCUGGCGGUGUGCCUAAUACAUGCAAGUCGAUCGGGCGUAGCAAUACGUCAGAGGCGUACGGGUGAGUAACACGUAGGUAACCUACCUUUAAGACUGGGAUACCCAGACGAAAGUUUGGCUAAUACCGGAUAACAACAUUUGAGACAUCUCUUUUGUUUGAAAGGCGCUGCAAGGCGCCACUUUUAGAUGGACCUGCGUCGCAUUAGCUAGUUGGUGAGAUAAAAGCCCACCAAGGCUGGGAUGCGUAGCCGAUCUGAGAGGAUGACCGGCCACAAUGGGACUGAGACACGGCCCAUACUCCUACGGGAGGCAGCAGUAGGGAGUUUUCGGCAAUGGGGGAAACCCUGACCGAGCAACACCGCGUGAGUGAUGAAAGGUCUUCGGAUCGUAAAGCUCUGUUACGAGGGACGAAUGAUCGCUUUAGGAAAUGAGAGCGGUUUGACGGUACCUCGCCAGAAAGCGACGGCUAACUACGUGCCAGCAGCAGC